rnacentral:rRNA from 1 species
GGGCCCGCACAAGCGGUGGAGCAUGUGGUUUAAUUCGAUGCAACGCGAAGAACCUUACCUACCUUUGAAUCCACGGAAUUCUAUAGAGAUGUAGAAGUGCCUUCGGGAACCGUGAGACAGGUGCUGCAUGGCUGUCGUCAGCUCGUGUCGUGAGAUGUUGGGUUAAGUCCCGUAACGAGCGCAACCCUUGUCCUUAGUUACCAGCGAGUCAUGUCGGGGACUUUAAGGAGACUGCCGGUGAUAAACCGGAGGAAGGUGGGGAUGACGUCAAGUCCUCAUGGCCCUUACAGGUAGGGCUACACACGUGCUACAAUGGCCGGUACAAAGGGUUGCCAACCCGCGAGGGGGAGCUAAUCUCAAAAAGCCGGUCGUAGUCCGGAUUGGAGUCUGCAACUCGACUCCAUGAAGCUGGAAUCGCUAGUAAUCGCGGAUCAGAACGCCGCGGUGAAUACGUUCCCGGGCCUU